rnacentral:lncRNA from 1 species
GUUUAACUUUAUUACUGUUGCACCAUUUAUACAAUUACAUAUAAUUUCAAUGCAUCCAUUGUACAUUUUUUUAUUUUUUUUUUUUUUUUUUUUUUUUUGAGACAGGAUCUUGCUGCUCUGUCGCUCAGGCUGGAGCGCAGUGGCGCGAUCUCGGCUCACUGCAACUUGCGCCUCUCGGUUCAAGUGAUUCUCGUGCCUCAGCCUCCUGAGUAGCUGGGAUUACCUGUGCACCACCACACCUGGCUAAUUUUUGUAUUUUUAGUAUUUUA